UGGAGCAUGAUAAAGCAUUGUAAAGAGACUCUAUUGUAACUUCUUCAAAUGAGUGUGGUUGGUGGCACAAACUCCUUUUCUCUCUUUUUAUCCAAAGUUUUUAUUUUUUUUAGAUGUUCUGUGCUACAUGUAACAGAGGAGCAACUUGCAGCUCUCUUCAUGUAAGAACCAGCAAUGUGGAUAUCCAUUUUGAAUAAUGUAAAAUCCUUUUCCAUGAGUAAAAUUUAUAAUUAAAAUUUAUAAUCAAGU
rnacentral:lncRNA from 1 species